rnacentral:rRNA from 1 species
AACGAACGCUGGCGGCAUGCCUAACACAUGCAAGUCGAACGAGGCCUUCGGGUCUAGUGGCGCACGGGUGCGUAACGCGUGGGAACCUGCCCUUAGGUUCGGAAUAACUCCCCGAAAGGGGUGCUAAUACCGGAUAAUGUCUUCGGACCAAAGAUUUAUCGCCUUUGGAUGGGCCUGCGUUGGAUUAGCUAGUUGGUAGGGUAAAAGCCUACCAAGGCGACGAUCCAUAGCUGGUCUGAGAGGAUGAUCAGCCACACUGGGACUGAGACACGGCCCAGACUCCUACGGGAGGCAGCAGUGGGGAAUAUUGGACAAUGGGCGAAAGCCUGAUCCAGCAAUGCCGCGUGAGUGAUGAAGGCCUUAGGGUUGUAAAGCUCUUUUACCCGGGAUGAUAAUGACAGUACCGGGAGAAUAAGCGCCGGCUAACUCCGUG